GACUCUUGUCUAAUGGAUAUCUAGGCUCUUGCAUCUAUGAAUAAUGUAGCGAAAUGCGAUACUUGGUGUGAACUGCAGAAUCCCAUGAAUCAUCCGGUCUUUGAACACUGGUUGCGUUCAAAGCCAUUUGGCUGAGGACACGUCUGCCGGGGCAUUA
rfam:Capsicum annuum cultivar Zunla-1 chromosome 6, whole genome shotgun sequence